UAGUCGGUCUUUGUCCGAAAGGGCAGAGCCUAGCGCGUCCGUAGGUGAACCUGCGGAAGGAUCAUUAAAGAAUCGCCCCGUUUUUUGAAAUGGGUUCU
rnacentral:rRNA from 1 species